ensembl:snoRNA SNORD62 Small nucleolar RNA SNORD62
UCUCUAUGAUGUCUCAAUAGAUCCUGCUGACCCUUCACUGUGUACUCACUAGAACAGAAGGGAAGUGAAGUAAUCUAUGGCUGAGAGA